AAAAUAAAGUAGAAACUAUCCGUUUCUCACCUUACAUGACGACAAGUUACUAAGGUUUAUGAUGAAGGCAAUGAACGGAUAGUGAAUACUAUUCGUUCUUUUUUUUGGAG
rfam:Megasphaera sp. TPII 135-E contig00003, whole genome shotgun sequence.